rnacentral:rRNA from 1 species
GGGGUGGGGAACCGCCGGACAGUUCGUGAGGUUUUGGCCCUCUCUAAAGCCAAUUCCCCGGGGCUCGUUUUUCUCUCGGAGACAAGACAAGCCUCAAGUCAGAUGGAGAAACUCAGAUGGAGACUGCAGUUGAAAGGUUUCACGGGUGUGUCAUGUGAGGGGCUCAGUGGUGGACUGGCCCUGUAUUGGGAUGAA